UGGGGAAUUUUGGACAAUGGGCGAAAGCCUGAUCCAGCAAUGCCGCGUGUGUGAAGAAGGCCUUCGGGUUGUAAAGCACUUUUGUCCGGAAAGAAAUGGCUCUGGUUAAUACCUGGGGUCGAUGACGGUACCGGAAGAAUAAGGACCGGCUAACUACGUGCCAGCAGCCGCGGUAAUACGUAGGGUCCAAGCGUUAAUCGGAAUUACUGGGCGUAAAGCGUGCGCAGGCGGUUGUGCAAGACCGAUGUGAAAUCCCCGAGCUUAACUUGGGAAUUGCAUUGGUGACUGUACGGCUAGAGUGUGUCAGAGGGGGGUAGAAUUCCACGUGUAGCAGUGAAAUGCGUAGAGAUGUGGAGGAAUACCGAUGGCGAAGGCAGCCCCCUGGGAUAACACUGACGCUCAUGCACGAAAGCGUGGGGAGCAAACAGGAUUAGAUACCCUGGUAGUCCACGCCCUAAACGAUGUCAACUAGUUGUUGGGGAUUCAUUUCCUUAGUAACGUAGCUAACGCGUGAAGUUGACCGCCUGGGGAGUACGGUCGCAAGAUU
rnacentral:rRNA from 1 species